AUUGAACGCUGGCGGCAGGCCUAACACAUGCAAGUCGAGCGGAGCGGCGGACGGGUGAGUAAUGCCUAUGUAGCAGCCUGGUCGUGGGGGAUAACGUCCGGAAACGGGCGCUAACACCGCAUACUAUCAGACGAGCCUAGGUCGGAUUAGCUAGUUGGUGGGGUAAAGGCCUACCAAGGCGACGAUCCGUAACUGGUCUGAGAGGAUGAUCAGUCACACUGGAACUGAGACACGGUCCAGACUCCUACGGGAGGCAGCAGUGGGGAAUAUUGGACAAUGGGCGAAAGCCUGAUCCAGCCAUGCCGCGUGUGUGAAGAAGGUCUUCGGGUUGUAAAGCACUUUAAGUUGGGAGGCGUUACCAACAGAAUAAGCACCGGCUAACUUCGUGCCAGCAGCCGCGGUAAUUC
rnacentral:rRNA from 1 species